rnacentral:rRNA from 1 species
CCUUAACUGUACACUAACAGCUUCUGCGCGAGCAGAAUCUGCUGAUUUGCAGGACUGACUACACCAAGUAGUCGGAAGUUUGAGGCAAUAACAGGUCUGUGAUGCCCUUUGAUGUUCUGGGCUGCACGCGCGCUACACUGACCUGGGCAGCGAGUUUUGCUAGGCUGAAAGGCCUGGCUAAUCUUGUGAAACCAGGUCGUGCUGGGGAUAGAUCAUUGCAAUUGUUGGUCUUUAACGAGGAAUUCCUAGUAAGCGCAAGUCAUCAGCUUGCGUUGAUUACGUCCCUGCCCUUUGUACACACCGCCCGUCGCUACUACCGAUUGGGUGUAUUAGUGAGGUCUUCCGACGGCCGCGAGGCCGAAAGUUGAACAAACUUGUGCACCUAGAGGAAGUAAAAGUCG